AUGACACUUUUUUCAGAAUUAACUGGCAGAGAUGACUUUGGCGAACGUAGGAGGGGUGACAGAAGUAGUUUUAAAUCUGGCAACAGCUGGUCCAAACCCGAAAGACAUUACCGCUUGAGACUGGAAAUGAUCUACCUUUUGCAUUUGGAUAGAGAAAGAAUGAAAUAUGACAGUAGUACAAGAGUCUUCAUAGCACCAUGA